GUAUCAUUCAAGAAAAAGUAGGUAUCGUUAAAUAAGUAGUUUUUCAUGUGUAUAUGAAUGUUUGUACAACUUAAUUUUUAUACCCUUCGAAAGUUUGUACUUGUAAAUAUUAUGAGCGACACUAUCUGACAGCUUGUUUAAACUAUAAUAAUUUGUAAAAGAAAUGAACGUGAUUCUAUAACAAAAGCAGUAUGGCAACACUUUUUCAUCCCUUAUAUUCCUCAAAAAACUCAAAGGUUAGAGAGCCAUUGAGGGUGUUUUAAUUUAUGUAUGUGAUAAUAAUAAACACCUGCGACAGUAUUUCAACAUUUGCAGAUAUUACAAAUUCAUUAAUAAGCAAAUUAAGUGUUAAAUGUAUUCAAGUUAUAAUUUAUUUUGAUUAAGAAACUGCAUUUCUGGAAAUUAAAAACCAUGCAACAGAAAAGCCGAAAAUGAAGACAGGUAUAACAACGGGGGACGUCGGGAAUAGUUUGAUCAUCUACCAAUACGGCCCAUUAAAAAUAGCAAACAUGUACUAUUGUAAUUUAAUGAAAAAGUCGUGAAAAGUGAUGUCGGUAUAUCUUUUCUGUCGUUAAUAUAUUGUUUCUACCGGACCGAUCAUCAGCCUGUGCCAGCGAUACCUUCAGUAAAAAUUUAGUUAUAUUUCUGAGGAUGUGCAUAUUGUAAACAAAAUUUGAGCCAAAUCGAAUACAUAACAAUACCAUUAUAUCGAUAUGUUUACAGUUUAAAAA